GUUCUUAUAGUUUAUUAUAAAACAUUAGUCUUGUAAACUAAAAAUGUUUCGUCUAAGAACU
rnacentral:tRNA from 1 species